rnacentral:lncRNA from 1 species
GAAUGGCUCUUUGGACCCGUUGAUCUCUUUGUAGAGAAACACGGGAAGGGCAUCGAUCAGGGCUUGAUCUAGACCCGAGUCGUGGAGAUGGAACAGCUGCUGGAGCUGUCUCUGGUAAGUGUCGGAGUCCGAGAGUUCUGGGUUUCGAUCGGAAUCCGCCGCCGAGGAAGAAAGUCUCGAUCUUUUCUUCUUUAAGUAACAUUUGACCGUUAAAUGUAGGAUGCUGCAGAUGAAGAAGACGACGGAGAGGAGAACGAUGAUGAAGAGAAGGAUUGGGCUUAUUCGAUUAGACGAGUGAUUCGCGGUGAGCGGAGGAGGAGCAG